GACGAACGCUGGCGGCGUGCUUAACACAUGCAAGUCGAACGGAAAGGCCCCCAUCUUGGUGGGGGUGCUCGAGUGGCGAACGGGUGAGUAACACGUGGGUGAUCUGCCCUGUACUUCGGGAUAAGCUUGGGAAACUGGGUCUAAUACCGGAUAGGACCAUGGUUUAGUGUCUCAUGGUGGAAAGAUUAUUGUUUUGGUGCAGGAUGAGCUCGCGGCCUAUCAGCUUGUUGGUGGGGUAAUGGCCUACCAAGGCGUCGACGGGUAGCCGGCCUGAGAGGGUGGACGGCCACAUUGGGACGGAGAUACGGCCCAGACUCCUACGGGAGGCAGCAGUGGGGAAUAUUGCACAAUGGGCGCAAGCCUGAUGCAGCGACGCCGCGUGGGGGAUGACGGCCUUCGGGUUGUAAACUCCUUUCGUUAGGGACGAAGCCGCACUUUUUUUGGGUGUGGUGACGGUACCUUUGUUAAGAAGCACCGGCUAACUACGUG
rnacentral:rRNA from 1 species